ensembl:lncRNA
AGACGGGAAACGGCAUCAUCAUUGAUGAUGGUGUGGGAGAGCAACGCGUGUGGUGGCUAAAUAAUAAAUGUGGCAUAUUGGGUUUUGUGUGAAGCCAGGACUGAAGCCUGUUCCUGUGGUGCUGCCGAGGAUAAAGAUGUGAAGAUUUCAGACCUAGUCAUCCAGGGGUGGGGGAUGGAAGUGGUGGACGACUGAUUAGCUGCUAAACUUAAUUUACAUUAAUCAUUCCAGUCGAUUGUCAAUUGGAAAUACUUCACCUUCAUCUCAAGUUUUUUGUUUUUUGUCCUCGUCUUUUGUAUGACUGGUGUGAGAUUGCUAAUUGAAUCUCAACAAGUUGUCACACUAUGGCCUCUGGUGAUGCUUCCUACAGGAGCGGCGUUCCGGUGGUUCCAGUAGGACUCCUCCUCCUCCUCCGCUCCCUACCCAAAGCUCUGCCAUGAAGUGCAAUGCCAACUCCUGGAUUGUCUCCGGAACAGACACUGGCUAAUAAACAAGCUAGCAACAAAUAAAAUUAUAGAAAAAACCCCAACAAAAAACAAAAAAACUAAACUAAUAAAAGCAGAAAAAAAGAGGAAAAAAAUCAGCCGGAUAAUGGAUGCACCUACUUAUUCCUUGAACCAAAAAUGAAAACGUAAAGAAAAGCAUCUAUGGCAACUUUCAUUCCCUUUUCUAUGUUUCCAUUUUGGUACCUUUUGUCCUUAUCCCAGCAGGUUUUUUCUGUCGCUUAAACAUGGAACUGCUCAUUGCCAGAAACAGAAAUGACGGACUGAGUGUGGACAAUCAACUAAUUUCUGUGUUUGGUGUUAAUGUUGUUCAUGUGUGGAAAGAUAAAGUACUUGUGUAGAGAAUGUAAAUUUACAGCUAUAUUUUAAAAACUAGUGGCUAAUGGUAAACAUUAUUGUAAUUCUUCACCAUUAUGUUACUCAAAGCCCUCGUCUUCUUUAUGAUUUCAUUUUACUUUCCAGAAAGAUUUAAGUGGUUGUCCUUUGACAGUCAAGAAAAUGUUUCAAAUUGUGGUGCUGUCCAUUUUGGAUUGUAAUGAAACUUUUAAAAAAAAAGAAAGAAAAAAAAGUCAUGUUAAUGGGCAGAUCACCUGAGAUUCUUCGCUGGCUUGAAGAUGUUGUUCGCCAGAGCCGUCACUACUGUAAUCUCCUCAAUCAGCCCUCCUCUGCAUUUCCAAACUGUUCCUUUAGUGAAACUGGCAGCCUUGUUACUGUGGCCCUACUGAGCAUGUGCCAAUACUGCUCAGGGCAAAAGCACUAAGAGACAGCACUUGCUCUGAGUCUACCCUACUGAAAGCACUGGGACAAGCAUUUUUUUUUAAAUUUAUUUGUUUAUUUGUCAUAUUUUUAUGAUUUAGUUAUGUUGCUGGGUAGCUACAGCUUUUAAAAAUAACCAAUCUUUGUAUUUGUUUAGAAAAUUGGACUGGUUUUGUGAAUAAAAAGGAAUGCAUGUAUUCGUGUCAAAAUUUACAAAUCUGAUGUUUGUCUACUUGUCUAUUUGCAUGUUUUUUUUAACAGCUGAUUUUAAAAAAAUGGUUGGACUGACAAAAUAAAUAUUAAGGAUACAUUUUCCACAAAUUAGAAGGAAAAAAAAGUUUCCUUUUCUUUUACAAUUGGACGCUGCAGCAUAAUUUUGACUCAAACACAGCUCAUUAAAGUAAAUCAGGUGGUGGUAUGAAUCGCUAAGAUGUUCUUGGGUUGACUGAGAUCUCUUUUUUACUGCCUAUGUAAUACACUAUAUGGACAAAAGUACUGGGAAAUCUACACAUGAACCCUACAGGAGCAGCUAGGCCAUAAAGGCGCGUGUCAUGAAGCUCCCGGCACACAGUGUUUGUGCUGAUGUUAAACCCAGAAGAGAUUUGGAGCUCUGAAGUUAUUGAACCAGCAGAUCAUUGGUGACUUUUACCCACUUUACUUCUUACACUUUAUACUUUUAUAUCAAUAUUUUUGCCCAUAUAGUGUAUCUGCCUACAGUGGAACAAUGGACCCUUGCUAUGCUAAAAUGUAACCAAAAUGAUUUAAAUAAUGUUUGAAUAAGAUCUUUUUGUUUGCAGUUUUUCUUCAAAUUGCAUGAAACCUCUUGAAGCUCC